rnacentral:lncRNA from 1 species
GAUUAUGUAGAUUUUUUUUUUUUUCUCCCCUAUUGCAGUUUCAUAUGCAAAGCAUGCAUCAGCCACAUCCAUGCUAUCUCCUAAAGCAGUCAUUCUGAAACCCAAUCUGGGGACAGUGCAGACUAAAUAAAAUUUCAUUUUGAUUUGGCCUCCCGCUGAGAAUGGGACUGCUUUGUUUCAGCCGACAGAACCAGCAAGCCAGAAAGGUUUUGUUUCAAAAAUAGAGAAGCUGCUUCUGACCCAAUUGAUCAAAAAUGCUGUUCUUCAGGAAAGAGUGCAAAAUGUCUUCUUUUCAAAGCAAAUGGAUUUGAGGAACGGGUCAUUGUGGUGGAGGAAGUAUUUUUAUCUGGGCCUCAGGAAACAGUGGUCUGGCUAGCAACUGCACUGGGACGGAUGAUUACAUGA